rnacentral:rRNA from 1 species
AUUGAACGCUGGCGGCAGGCCUAACACAUGCAAGUCGAGCGGCUGAAGGGAGCUUGCUCCUGGAUUCAGCGGCGGACGGGUGAGUAAUGCCUAGGAAUCUGCCUGGUCGUGGGGGAUAACGUCCGUAAACGGUCGCUAAUACCGCAUACGUCCUGAUGGAGAAAGUGUGGGAUCUUCGUACCUCACGCUAUCAGAUGAGCCUAGGUCGGAUUAGCUAGUUGGUGGGGUAAAGGCCUACCAAGGCGACGAUCCGUAACUGGUCUGAGAGGAUGAUCAGUCACACGGGAACUGAGAAAGGGUCCAGACUCCUAAGGGAGGCAGCAGUGGGGAAUAUUGGACAAGGGGCGAAAGCCUGAUCCAGCCAUGCCGCGUGUGGGAAGAAGGUCUUCGGAUUGUAAAGCACUUUAAGUUGGGAGGAAGGGCAGUAAGUUAAUAGCUUGAUGUUUUGACGGUACCAACAGAAUAAGCACCGGCUAACUUCGUG